GAAUAAAAAGUAAGCAGUUCCUGGCCUAUGCUAUUUCAGUUAAAGGUGUCUGACUGACAGCAUGUUGGCACCAGCAUUGAAGGAAAUGAUGAGCUUCAGCUCCAGGUUCCUGUCCUGAGACCACAGAAGGAUGUGCCUUGGAUUUAGGCUUGAACUCCUGGAUCAUUUGGCGACACCAAAAAUCUGGUCUCAGGGUGGAGAACUUUUGCUUUGAAUUUCUAACCUGGAGCUAUGGUGAUGGUGCCAGUCAAUUAACUGAACAACUGUGGGUUGGUUCCUUUGUUCCUCUUCCACUAAGUCCUUGAGGUUUUUAACUUCUUGAGGCCAGUGACUGUGUCUGAAAAUUAUAGGGUGGCGAAAACAAGG